rnacentral:rRNA from 1 species
GAUGAACGCUGGCGGCGUGCCUAAUACAUGCAAGUCGAGCGAACAGACGAGGAGCUUGCUCCUCUGACGUUAGCGGCGGACGGGUGAGUAACACGUGGAUAACCUACCUAUAAGACUGGGAUAACUUCGGGAAACCGGAGCUAAUACCGGAUAAUAUAUUGAACCGCAUGGUUCAAUAGUGAAAGACGGUUUUGCUGUCACUUAUAGAUGGAUCCGCGCCGCAUUAGCUAGUUGGUAAGGUAACGGCUUACCAAGGCAACGAUGCGUAGCCGACCUGAGAGGGUGGUCGGCCACACUGGAGCGGAGACACGGUCCAGACUCCUACGGGAGGCAGCAGUAGGGAAUCUUCCGCAAUGGGCGAAAGCCUGACGGAGCAACGCCGCGUGAGUGAUGAAGGUCUUCGGAUCGUAAAACUCUGUUAUUAGGGAAGAACAAAUGUGUAAGUAACUAUGCACGUCUUGACGGUACCUAAUCAGAAAGCCACGGCUAACUACGUG